ACGGCAAAGGCACGGUCCUCCGUCACGUCGAGCUUGGAGUUUGAACCUAGAGGACCUGCGAUGGUGGCACAUGACUCUGCCAGUGGGAACGCCUGACGCAGGAGAACGUGGUCGGGCAGCGCCACGCACUACGACUCCCAGAAUGCCCCGCGUGGGCGAGCCUCAGCGCGCCGGCGCCGUCCAGUCGCGCGGGGGCCGACGGGAGGUGCGGUGGCCGGGGUGGGGAAGGAUCGGGGCCGCCGGGAGAUGUGUCUGCCCGGGCCGCUGGGGAGUGGAAUUCGCCGACGCCCACUGUGGCCCGUGGCAGCGUUGGGUCUGCGCCGUGAGGGAGGUGUGUGCAGAAUCGCCGCGGCCUCCUCGGCGUGUGGCCGGGCCGCGCUCAGCCCGGCGCACCUCCGGGUCGGGUCCCCUUGGUCCCCGCGGCCGCAGCACCCCGCGCUACGAGCGGACGUGCGCUGGGGGACCGACCGGCCCGCUAGGGUGGGAGGAAACCACUUCUCUUGGCUGUGACCCGUGGUGGAGGGAACCUAGACGGCCGCCACGUCCACGUGCUGCAAAGAACCCGUCUGCGUCACGGGGUCGCUGCAGCACGCGGGGCCCGGAGAGGAAAUCCCGCAGCAAAGCCGGUGGCCUGGCACUCGGGGACAGACAGGGACGUGCUGGGGGGAGCGUCGCUGUGCUUUCCACUCCGCGUGGACCUAAAAUUCAGGAGCCACCAGGAUAGAAGGACGUGUUGAGGCCACUCCGGUGCAGGGGCAGCCCAGACCCUGGAAGCCCGGUGGACGGAACUGGCGCCCAGGUGGCCGAGCCCAGCGCCCGGAGCCCUCCGGCCAUCUGCUGGCGCUCACAGAGGACUACCCGCCCAGGGUGGGCUUCGGCCGCGGAAGCCCCGGAGGGGCGCUUAAGCAGUUCGAAAAACGUGCCAAAUUCGCCUCUAUGUCAGAUUAUUCACAAGAUUUAUUUUGAAAUCGUACACUUAUUAAAGGGAGGCUUGUGAUUUGUUUCCUAAGGUGCCGGUUGACUGUCAGCCCAAGGAAGAUUUCCCAUGUAUUUAGCUGUGCACCAGCCACCCCGACAGUCCUCACCAACUCCCACUUUGCCGGCCUGAGAACCUUCCCACGGGCAGGCUAGCCCCGAUAAGACCGGCCCUCCACGGCUGAAUACACCCCUCUUACCAGGAAGCCUUUUGGAAUCCUGGGCACAAACUGCAGGACAGCAUAGGAAGAUGUCCGGUCACGCCCUUGUGGGACUAUGGCUGCCGGUUCACCACCGGGCUUAAUGGGAAUCCUGAAUUGGAUGGGUUCCAGUUUGCAGGCUACAUCUCUGCUCAUUGAAGUCAUUUACCAUUGGAUUCAACUUUUUCUCUUCUCAUUAUUGCUCCAAAGAUCAUUCCCUAGGUCCCCUGCAAGGCUCCCUGUUGAGCAAUGAAUAACCAGGUGCCUGUGUGUUUUCAUUCUGUUGGAGGCGUGUCUGCAGAGCAGGUUCCCAGAGGGGCGACUGACAGGAUUUAUCAGCCACAUUGCUUUUGGACCUCCCUCUGGGGACUUGGCCACCUCUCAGUUAAGAGCUUGGAAUGUGAAGACUGGUCCUGGCCAGAAUGGAGCAAGGAACGUGGCUUUUCAUUGGCUCACCAAACCUCGGCCUCCUGCUUCUCUGAACACUCUCUGUUUCACAAACCCAGGGCCAGGGCCAGGUCAUCUCUCACAGUAACUGUGAGAUGCCCGCUGCCCAAAUGCCACCUUGCAAUCUCUUCUAUUUCUUAGGUUUUGGCUUAACACCUCUGUGACCCUAAAAGACAUGGGAAUUUCUCCAGCAGUAAGCAAGUCACUAGACACCAGCUGGUGACAUCGUCAGACCCCACAGGUGGAGAGCUCAGUCCCUAGAACUGCCCCUACCAGGUGCCCAAUCAGGCUGCCUUGCCCUGCUUCUGACAGACCAGCUGUCCAUCAGGGUUCCGUGACCCCCUCUUGGGUGCAGUUAUUUGCUUGGGCAGCUCACAGAACUCAGGGAGGCACUGGAUAAAGGACAUUGCAAAGGAUAGCAAUGAGGCACUGCACAGGGUGAGGUGGGGAGAAGGGCACAGGGCUCCCACGCCCUCUCCAGGUGCACCGCCCUCCGGAAACUUCCAUGGUCAACUCUCUGGAUGUGCUCUGAAUCCUCUCCUUGGGGGUUUAUGGAGACCUCACUGCACGGGCGUGGCCGGCCUGGGAAGAUUCCUCACUACCCCUUCCUGGGUAUGGGGUGAGAAGCCCUAGAGAGAGGAGGUCUUAUGGCCUUCUAUCUGAGCUCUAGGGGCCAGCCUGGGGGCAGUUACAAGCCAAGAACCAAGAGACACAUACAUAUCUAUAAACUUUACCUGAAAGCCAAGCAACCGUCUCCUGGAAGAGAGGGAGCAAGUGUGCUCCAAGGUGGCACUCGGGUGCUGAGUCUGGGGAGGAGCAGACCUAGUCGCAGCGACACCAGGAUGACCCGGCCCUGCACAUACCUAGCCCCACUCACCAUGGUUGUCCCAGGUCUCCUCCACUGCCCACGCCUCUCCCCUUCAACUCAACCCACCCUCUUCUCUCCAUGCCCAGAACCAAUUGGACUUUUAUACCCACUCAUUGGCCCAACAAUUUCAGCAACUUCUGUAGCCACCUCCUGGUUUUCUGUCCUGUGUCUCCCUCCUUCUUCUUUUUUUUUAAAUUUAAUUUUAUUUUUUGGUACAGGAGAUUGAAUCCAGGGGCACUUAACCACUGAAACACAUCCCCACCCUUUUUUAUCUUUUAUUUAGA